rnacentral:rRNA from 1 species
AGCGAACGCUGGCGGCAGGCCUAACACAUGCAAGUCGAACGGUCCUUCGGGAUAGUGGCGGACGGGUGAGUAACACGUGGGAACGUACCCGUCGUUUCGGAACAAGACGUGGAAACUUGUGCUAAUACCGGAUAAGCCCUUCGGGGGGAAGAUUUAUCGCCGUUGGAGCGGCCCGCGUCUGAUUAGCUUGUUGGGGAGGUAAUGGCUCACCAAGGCGACGAUCAGUAGCUGGUCUGAGAGGAUGGCCCGCCACACUGGGACGGAGACACGGCCCAGACUCCUACGGGAGGCAGCAGUGGGGAAUCUUGCGCAAUGGGCGAAAGCCUGACGCAGCCAUGCCGCGUGGAUGAUGAAGGUCUUAGGAUUGUAAAAUCCUUUCACCGGGGACGAUAAUGACGGUACCCGGAGAAGAAGCCCCGGCUAACUUCGUGCCAGCCGCCGCCGUAA